rnacentral:rRNA from 1 species
GGCGAACGCUGGCGGCGUGCUUAACACAUGCAAGUCGAACAGAAAGGCCCUGCUUGCGGGGUACUCGAGUGGCGAACGGGUGAGUAACACGUGGGUGAUCUGCCCUGCACUUCGGGAUAAGCCUGGGAAACUGGGUCUAAUACCGGAUAGGAGCCAUUUUUAGUGUGAUGGUUGGAAAGUUUUUUCGGUGUAGGAUGAGCUCGCGGCCUAUCAGCUUGUUGGUGGGGUAAUGGCCUACCAAGGCGGCGACGGGUAGCCGGCCUGAGAGGGUGGACGGCCACAUUGGGACUGAGAUACGGCCCAGACUCCUACGGGAGGCAGCAGUGGGGAAUAUUGCACAAUGGGCGCAAGCCUGAUGCAGCGACGCCGCGUGGGGGAUGACGGCCUUCGGGUUGUAAACUCCUUUCGCUAGGGACGAAGCUUUUUGUGACGGUACCUGGAUAAGAAGCACCGGCUAACUACGUG